rnacentral:rRNA from 1 species
UACGGAGGGAGCUAGCAUUAUUCGGAAUUACUGGGCGUAAAGCGCACGUAGGCGGCUUUGUAAGUAAGAGGUGAAAGCCUGGAGCUCAACUCCAGAACUGCCUUUUAGACUGCAUCGCUUGAAUCCAGGAGAGGUGAGUGGAAUUCCGAGUGUAGAGGUGAAAUUCGUAGAUAUUCGGAAGAACACCAGUGGCGAAGGCGGCUCACUGGACUGGUAUUGACGCUGAGGUGCGAAAGCGUGGGGAGCAAACAGG